UCAUUCUAGAAUUGGGAGGUAAUAGAAAAGAGAGAAAUGGGAAAGUUGCUCAAAUGCAAGUCCAGUGAAUCAGAGAGAAAAGGCUCAAAGCAGCAGAACAAAGCUUCAAUAAAGAGAUAUUGUGACUUGGAGAGAUGGCCUUUUGUCCUUUGUUCUAUUACCAGUCAGAGGAUGGGGAGCACACCCGAGCCUGAGACAACAGCUCUGCUAAGUGCCCUUGAGAGGGCACGGUGGGGUCAGCACCAAAGUCAGACCACUAAAGAGAAAAAGAGAGAAAGACAGGAUUGCAGAGGAGAAAUGAGAAUGGCAGAAAAAAUAAUUUUUUAAGCCAAAAGGAAUCAGAGAAGAGCAGAAGUGCCUCUAGGAUAAAGCGUAGCAGGCAGUUAGGGAAAAAGGGCUGUUAACUACCUUGAAGCUCUGACUACAUUAGAAAGCCUCGCAAGACAGUCGUUGCUUGCACGGGCAGUGACCUGAAAUCUUCAUAACCCUCUUCCUUUCUCCACUUAUCAACUAAGGGGUGGUUGGCAAUAAGGAUGGGUGGGAGAGAAAAAAAAACAGAAUUUGAGGAGGAGAGCAUUUAAACCAUCAGACUGUGUGUUCUGUGACAUCAAAGACUGGCAACAUUCUAAAGGAAAAGCAGCUGUGAAGUCAUAAUUAUGUUCACUUCCCACUGGCAACUGGCAAGCCCUUUAUUUUUGUGCAUUCGGAACUCACCAAGAAUAAAUAAAGUCCAUUCCCUCCUUGAGGGGCUAUUCUGCCAUUCCAUCUAGGAUUUAAAAGUUUGCCAAUUCCUAAAACAUCUAUUGUUAUCAAUAGUCUUGUGUCUUUCACAAAGCGGACUUUACAAAAUAAGUUAACAGGCCAUGAGAGGAACAGUCACACAUACCAAGAAAGGUACAUACGGAGAUAAUUCCAAUCAAAGUGAGCACAGCCUACGCAUAAACAGGAUUUUCCAAGAAAAAAGCAUUAAAGUGCCAUAGAAUAUUAAAGAGCAAUUAAAAGAAUGAAGAUCUCUUCAUAUGCUGGAUAGGCGGAGUGACCCAGCAAUCAUAUGGACACCAUCCAUUCCAGUGACACUCAAACUUCAGCGUGCAUCAGAAUCCCUGCAAGGCUUGCUAAGACACAGACUGCUGCGCCUACCUCAGAGUUCCUGAUUCAUCAAGCUUGAAGUAAGGCCUGAGAUUUUUGCAUUACUAACAAGUCUUCAGGUGAUACCAAUGCUGCUGAUCUGGAGACUGCCUUUGAGAGCCACUAUUCUAUCUCUUUCCCAAUCAACUGUCCUUUCUCACCUCCCUUUUAAAUCUCCAGCACCUGCUCCCUCAUGUUUACUCUCAAUGCACAAUCUUUUUUUCUCCUUCACUGACAGAAGUGAAACAAUUAAAAGAGAAUUUCCCCAGUCUCUCACUACUGCACCUGCUCACCCUCCCACAAGCACGUGUACUCACUGUGCUUUUCUUGCUGUUUUGAAAGGUGAAUUGUCUGUGGUCUUUCUAGAGCCAAUCUCUUCACAUGUGCACCAGAUUCCAAGACCUGCGGCCCACUCAAGGGCAUCCUGCAUGUCUUCUCCCAUCUCUUACCUUGUCAACUCUUUCCACUUUUUGAGUCAUCCUCCUCAGCACAAAAGAUUGUUACUCACUUAUCUUAAAAAGUAAAAGACUAAAC
rnacentral:lncRNA from 1 species